rnacentral:rRNA from 1 species
ACAGCUCAAAUUUGAAAUCUGGGUCUUUCAGGCUCCGAGUUGUAAUUUGUAGAAGAUGCUUUGGGUGCGGCCCCGGUCUAAGUUCCUUGGAACAGGACGUCAUAGAGGGUGAGAAUCCCGUAUGUGAUCGGUGGCUUGCGCCCGUGUAAAGCUCUUUCGACGAGUCGGGUUGUUUGGGAAUGCAGCUCUAAAUGGGUGGUAAAUUUCAUCUAAAGCUAAAUAUUGGCCAGAGACCGAUA